rnacentral:lncRNA from 12 species
CUGGGGUGCCAGCAGGACGGACAGCAGAGCCCGAGGCUGAGGGGGAGCCCAGGGACACAGGUCAGGAGCCCUAGGGGUUCAGACUGGGGAGGUGAGACCACCAGGCUGCUUGUGAGCACAGAGUUGGGGCCUCCCCUGCACUGGGGCUCCUAGACGGGGCUGUUCCUACAUUUGCUCUGCAAUGAUCUCCUGAGCCCACUGCAGGAGCUGAGGUAACAGGAGAGACCUGAAUGGGCUAAUCUACUGGACAGUGAGGUCCCAGGGCUAACAGUUGGCCCCGCCCUUGGGGUGUGGAAGAGCCCAAGGUCUCUUGAGUGACGUCUUUCAUCCUCUCUUCCUCUAUGUUCUAGAUGCUUCCCCAGCCUCACUGUAGGCCCAGAUGGAUCCAGCAGGGAGGCAGCCUGCCAUGGGCCCCUGCUCAGGGGACCCCCAACUGGGCGGGGCCUCCUGGCUCCUGGGACUCACCAGCCUCCUCCUCAGCGUCUGCAGCACUGGCACCCAGGGUUCUGCAGCCCAUGGUUCUGGAGUUGAGGAUUCUGGAAACCCCGUUUCCCUGAAGGGGAUGCAAGGAGCUUCUGUGUUGUUUCAAGUGCUCAGAAACCCAGACUUGCCUGCAGGAGUCGAGCUGGAGAAGAUGACCUGGGGGAUCUCCUCCGGGGCAAACUACACAACCCUGCUGCAGGUCUCCCCUGGGGCACGCGAUCCAGAAUGGGUCAACUUCCAGGACAAGUUCCAGAAGAGGGUCCAUGUGCUCAACAUUACGACCCUGAGGAUGAACAACCUGACCCUGGAGGACACUGGGCUGUACCGGGCUCGGGGCUUCUACUCCAGAGGAAGACAAUACGACCAGGAUUUCCACCUGACUGUGUAUGAGCCCCUGCCCCUUCCCCAGAUCUGGGCCAAGGAUCGGUUCAUCACCCCAGGCUGGUGCAAUGUCACCGUGAAGUGUGACACCAUGGGAACCAGGGAGGACCUGACCCUGUCCUGGGAGAGGAAGAGACUCCCCAGGGAACUGGAACAACGAGUGGCCCCAGGACCAGCUCCCAACCCCUGGACCCUGGCUCUGAGCCUGCCCCUCAGCCAGCCCAGCGCCAGCCUCACCUGUGUGCUCAGCAACCAAGAGGACCAGAAAACUGUCACCUUGGACCUUGGGGACAUCUGUGGUCAUGCAGAUCCACAGGGACAGGCUGAUGCCUCCCAACUACCCAGCAUCCUGGGGACUGUUGUGGUCCUGCUGCUGAUCCUGGGAGCUGGACUGUUCCUCUGGAGGACACGAGUGAAGAAGAGCCUGGAGCCUGGGAGAGGUGCAGGGUCGCAGGAGGAGCAUAGGGAUCCCGAUAGUGGCAUCUACUAUGCAGAGCUGAGCCAGCAGGGGUCUGGAGACAGCAGGGACAAGGGUAGAGGUGCAGCACAUCUGGAAGGGAACAAGCCUCUCACUACUGUCUACAGUGAGGUCCGCAGGGCAGGCGUGGCCCUGAUGAGGAUUUAAUUGGAAGAAGCCGGAGAAUCCCGCCCUCCGGGGACAGCUGUCUUGGGAGCAUGAUGCCUGCAGCUCUGGUCUCACCUCUUCCUCCUCUGACUCCUCUGGUGAGGGACUGGCUGGUCCAAGCAUCAGUUAGUGUCUAUGCUAAGUGGUUCUGCACACGUUUGCGAUUAGACAUCUGUAGGUCUUUCAAGAGGGGAAACUGAGUAAAUAAAUUGACAGAAACAUGUGUCA